rnacentral:rRNA from 1 species
CCUACGGGCGGCAGCAGUGGGGAAUAUUGCACAAUGGGCGAAAGCCUGAUGCAGCAACGCCGCGUGAAGGAAGAAGGGUUUCGGCUCGUAAACUUCUAUCAACAGGGACGAAAGAAAUGACGGUACCUGAAUAAGAAGCCCCGGCUAACUACGUGCCAGCAGCCGCGGUAAUACGUAGGGGGCAAGCGUUAUCCGGAAUUACUGGGUGUAAAGGGUGAGUAGGCGGCAUGGUAAGCCAGAUGUGAAAGCCUUGGGCUUAACCCGAGGAUUGCAUUUGGAACUAUCAAGCUAGAGUACAGGAGAGGAAAGCGGAAUUCCGUGUGUAGCGGUGAAAUGCGUAGAUAUACGGAGGAACACCAGUGGCGAAGGCGGCCUGCUGGACAUUAACUGACGCUGAGGCGCGAAAGCGUGGGGAGCAAACAGGAUUAGAUACCCGGGUAGUC